GACCUGCACGAAUGGCGUAACGACUUCCCCGCUGUCUCCAACAUAGACUCAGUGAAAUUGAAUUCCCCGUGAAGAUGCGGGGUUCCCGCGGUCAGACGGAAAGACCCUAUGAACCUUUACUAUAAGUUUACAGUGGCGCCAGGAUUGUCAUGUGUAGGAUAGGUGGGAGGCUUUGAAGCCGGGACGCUAGUUUCGGUGGAGCCAUCCUUGAAAUACCACCCUUGACUCUCCUGUCGUCUAACCUACUCCCCUUAUCGGGGAGAGGGACCCUGUAUGCCGGGUAGUUUGACUGGGGCGGUCGCCUCCCAAACAGUAACGGAGGCGCGCGAUGGUAGGCUCAGGUUGGUCGGAAAUCAACCCGUGAGUGCAAUGGCAUAAGCCCGCCUGACUGCGAGACUGACAAGUCGAGCAGAGACGAAAGUCGGCCAUAGUGAUCCGGUGGUCCCGCGUGGAAGGGCCAUCGCUCAACGGAUAAAAGGUACUCUAGGGAUAACAGGCUGAUUUUGCCCAAGAGUCCAUAUCGACGGCAAAGUUUGGCACCUCGAUGUCGGCUCAUCUCAUCCUGGGGCUGGAGCAGGUCCCAAGGGUACGGCUGUUCGCCGUUUAAAGAGGUACGUGAGCUGGGUUUAGAACGUCGUGAGACAGUUCGGUCCCUAUCUGCCGUGGACGUUUGAGAUUUGAGAGGGGCUGCUCCUAGUACGAGAGGACCGGAGUGGACG
rnacentral:rRNA from 13 species